rnacentral:rRNA from 1 species
CACGUAGGGGGCGAGCGUUGUCCGGAAUCAUUGGGCGUAAAGAGCUCGUAGGCGGCUCGGUAAGUCGGGUGUGAAACCCCCAGGCUCAACCUGGGGACGCCACCCGAUACUGCUGUGGCUAGAGUCCAGUAGGGGAGUGUGGAAUUCCCGGUGUAGCGGUGAAAUGCGCAGAUAUCGGGAGGAACACCAGCGGCGAAGGCGGCACUCUGGGCUGGAACUGACACUGAGGAGCGAAAGCGUGGGGAUCAAACAGG